UUUGCACCGGUGCUGCCGAGUGA
rnacentral:siRNA from 1 species